rnacentral:lncRNA from 1 species
GUGGGAAUACAACUGAACAUACCUUUAUGGCUCUUGGCUGGAAUCUCUAAGAGUUCUGUGGAGAAUAUUCUGUGCUGGUAAUUGUUCCUAAUCAGCUGGAUGAAAGAGAAAGCAAAAAGUGCUUUUGAUACCUUCCCUGAAAAUGUCUGCAGCAUAAUAAUCUGAUAAGGGUAUAAUCACUAUGAUAAUCUUUAUAUUCACUAUGAUUCAACCUUCACCAAGUUCUAGCUAUGCUAGAAAGUGGAUUUUGACUGAGUAGAACAGCUCAUCUCGGUCACUCUACAGAAAUGGAGGACCACCACCUUCGACAUGUGAUAAGCCUUUGGAAACUGGUGCCUUGGGCAAGGAUACGCCCAACUGGUACCUGCAGACUUUCAUCUACUUACGGGUUGCAUGUUACAAUGAGCAUCAUCUUUCUGUAUGUCUGAGAUGAGUUUUCAAAAAGCCAUGAACCAUGAUAAACCCCAGGAAAACUGUGAAGCUCAAGGACGACUCUACAUCUCGACGUCAAGUGUCUGGCCCAUAACAAGUGCUCAAUGAAUUCCUGUUGACAGAAUAAAUAUGUAAGUGUUGCAAGAGAGUUUCUUGCA